AAUGACUACUGCAUGAUACUGAAUGCAUAGGACUACCAAAGGAGUAUGAGAAAGUCCACCAAAGGUAACUGACCAACACAACGGACGAAAAGGGCAAUGGGAAAAACUUGGGCUCUGAUUACCUGUUAUACUUUUCCUUUCACUUCCUGGGUAGCUGGCAUUUCUUCGACUCCAAGAUACUCAUACUUGUGCAGAAGUUGAAUGAGAAAAAGGUAGCUGAGAUGCAGGAUAGAUUCAAAGGAGCUGGCUAUUAACAUUAAAGUAGUAGUGGAGAGCAUUGUGCAUAGAGCUUGCCACCUUGGCGAGUAUCGUGAAAAGGGAAGUACUCACCACUGUGAAGAGCACCAUGGGAGGCAAAGUGUUUGCUCCCGGGUAAGCAAUCAAAAGUGCUUGCCACUAAGAAGAGCAUCAUGGGAGGUAAAGUACUCGUUACCUCGGCGAGUGCCCUAGAUGAAGCACAAUGCUCCUCACGUGAAGAGCAUGAAACUCAUCAUAUCGACUCGUGAAGAGGGAAAGUGGUAGCCCCGAGGCGAGCACCAUGGAGCAUCGUUGAAUGGAAAAGUGCUCCACCCAAGUGAGCACCACAUGAGUAAAAGUGCUACACACCUCGGCAAGAGCCAAGGGAGGCAAAUUGCUCCCCACCCCAGUGAGCACCAUGGGAGUCAAAAUGCUCCUCGCCCAAUUUCAGCACUAUGAGAGCAAAAAUGCUCGCCCCCAACCGAGCACCCUAGAGAGUAAGGCCUUGUUUGUGUAGGAUAAUC